AUUGAACGCUGGCGGCAGGCCUAACACAUGCAAGUCGAGCGGAGCGGCGGACGGGCGAGUAAUGCCUAGGAAUCUGCCUGGUAGUGGGGGAUAACGUCCGGAAACGGGCGCUAAUACCGCAUACUAUCAGAUGAGCCUAGGUCGGAUUAGCUAGUUGGUGGGUUAAAGGCCUACCAAGGCGACGAUCCGUAACUGGUCUGAGAGGAUGAUCAGGCACACUGGAACUGAGACACGGGCCAGACUGCUCCGGGAGGCAGGAGUGGGGAAUAUUGGACAAUGGGCGAAAGCCUGCUCCAGCCAUGCCGCGUGUGUUGAGGAGGUCUUCGGAUUGUAAAGCACUUUAAGGUGGGAGGCGUUACUAACAGAAUGAGCACCGGCUAACUUCGUGCCAGCAGCCGCGGUAAUUC
rnacentral:rRNA from 1 species